GACGAACGCUGGCGGCGUGCUUAACACAUGCAAGUCGAACGGAAAGGCCCUGCUUUUGUGGGGUGCUCGAGUGGCGAGCGGGUGUGUAACACGUGAGUACCCUGCCCUUGACUGUGGGAUGACUUCAGGACACUGGGGCUAAUACGGGAGAGGCGCUCCUGCUGCAUGGUGGGGGUUGGAAAGUUUCGGCGGUGGGGGAUGGACUCGCGGCUUAUCAGCUUGUUGGUGGGGUAGUGGCUUACCAAGGCUUUGACGGGUAGCCGGCCUGAGAGGGUGAACGGCCACAUUGGGACUGAGAUACGGCCCAGACUCCUACGGGAGGCAGCAGUGGGGAAUAUUGCACAAUGGGCGGAAGCCUGAUGCAGCAACGCCGCGUGCGGGAUGAAGGCCUUCGGGUUGUAAACCGCUUUCGCUUGUGACGAAGCGUGAGGGACGGUAACGGGUAAAGAAGCACCGGCUAACUACGUG
rnacentral:rRNA from 1 species